AAUAGAUACCCAGGUAGUCCAUGCCGUAAACGUUGGGCGCUAGAUGUGGGGACCAUUCCACGGUUUCCGUGUCGCAGCUAACGCAUUAAGCGCCCCGCCUGGGGAGUACGGCCGCAAGGCUAAAACUCAAAGGAAUUGACGGGGGCCCGCACAAGCGGCGGAGCAUGCGGAUUAAUUCGAUGCAACGCGAAGAACCUUACCAAGGCUUGACAUAUACGAGAACGCUGCAGAAAUGUAGAACUCUUUGGACACUCGUAUACAGGUGGUGCAUGGUUGUCGUCAGCUCGUGUCGUGAGAUGUUGGGUUAAGUCCCGCAACGAGCGCAACCCUCGUUCUAUGUUGCCAGCACGUAAUGGUGGGAACUCAUAGGAGACUGCCGGGGUCAACUCGGAGGAAGGUGGAGAUGACGUCAAAUCAUCAUGCCCCUUAUGUCUUGGGCUUCACGCAUGCUACAAUGGCCGGUACAAAGGGCUGCAAUACCGUAAGGUGGAGCGAAUCCCAAAAAGCCGGUCUCAGUUCGGAUUG
rnacentral:rRNA from 1 species